AUGGGUGUGUGAUUAAAUGGGUUUAAGUUUGGAAUUAGCAUCAUUUUUUGUCCCUUUUUUCUAUCGUUAGCCAAUCUUUUUGCGGUUUCUGUAACUCAACUAAGUUAAAUUUUAUUUAUUGUAUUUCUGGAUAGGCUUUUGGGCCAUAGCAAUAUCUAAUAGAGCAAAAAUGUGCGUCUGUAUAAAGGAAGUUGAAGAGCUAUGGAAGCAGGUCUAUAUUGAGAUGCAUUUCUUUGGCGCAAUACUAGACAACAUUGACAGUUGAAGUUUUUAGAAUAAAAAAUAUAUUUCACUAACAUUGGAUACAUUUCUUGUUUAUUAUUUGGUGAUGAUAAAAUUUGCUUGUAGUAUAAACUAUCAUGUAAUAUGAUUUUGUAAGCCGAGUAGACUAAAUACUGAAAUUAUAUUUUUGAGUAAUUAAUAAAAAAUUAUUUUGUUGUA